GAUGAACGCUGGCGGCGUGCCUAAUACAUGCAAGUCGAGCGAACGGACGAGAAGCUUGCUUCUCUGAUGUUAGCGGCGGACGGGUGAGUAACACGUGGAUAACCUACCUAUAAAACUGGGAUAACUUCGGGAAACCGGAGCUAAUACCGGAUAAUAUUUUGAACCGCAUGGUUCAAAAGUGAAAGACGGUCUUGCUGUCACUUAUAGAUGGAUCCGCGCUGCAUUAGCUAGUUGGUAAGGUAACGGCUUACCAAGGCAACGAUGCAUAGCCGACCUGAGAGGGUGAUCGGCCACACUGGAACUGAGACACGGUCCAGACUCCUACGGGAGGCCGCAGUAGGGAAUCUUCCGCAAUGGGCGAAAGCCUGACGGAGCAACGCCGCGUGAGUGAUGAAGGUCUUCGGAUCGUAAAACUCUGUUAUUAGGGAAGAACAUAUGUGUAAGUAACUGUGCACAUCUUGACGGUACCUAAUCAGAAAGCCACGGCUAACUACGUG
rnacentral:rRNA from 1 species